rnacentral:rRNA from 1 species
GAUGAACGCUGGCGGCGUGCCUAAUACAUGCAAGUCGAGCGAACAGACGAGGAGCUUGCUCCUCUGACGUUAGCGGCGGACGGGUGAGUAACACGUGGAUAACCUACCUAUAAGACUGGGAUAACUUCGGGAAACCGGAUCUAAUACCGGAUCAUAUAUUGAACCGCAUGGUUCAAUAGUGAAAGACGGUUUUGCUGUCACUUAUAGAUGGAUCCUCGCCGCAUUAGCUAGUUGGUAAGGUAACGGCUUACCAAGGCAACGAUGCGUAGCCGACCUGAGAGGGUGAUCGGCCACACUGGAACUGAGACACGGUCCAGACUCCUACGGGAGGCAGCAGUAGGGAAUAUUCCGCAAUGGGCGAAAGCCUGACGGAGCAACGCCGCGUGAGUGAUGAAGGUCUUCGGAUCGUAAAACUCUGUUAUUAGGGAAGAACAAAUGUGUAAGUAAAUAUGCACGUCUUGACGGUACCUAAUCAGAAAGCCACGGCUAACUACGUG